rnacentral:RNase_P_RNA from 1 species
GAGAGUAGGCGCAGGCGGUUGCGGACAAGCGUUUCGCCAGUCCGAGGAAAGUCCGGGCUUCCGAAAGACCAAACUUGCUGGGUAAUGCCCAGUGCGGGUGACCGUGAGGAUAGUGCCACAGAAACAUACCGCCUGGAAUGGAGAAGGGGAAAAAUCUCCCUACUAGGUAAGGGUGCAAAGGUGCGGUAAGAGCGCACCAGCAGCAUCGAGAGGUGCUGGCUCGGUAAACCCCGGUUGGGAGCAAGGUCAAAGGAACUAUGGUUGGUCUUUUACCAGUUCCGUACAAUAGAGCCGCUUGAGGCGUUUUGGUAACAGGCGUCCCAGAUAGAUAACCACCCUCUUGGUUGGUAACAGCCAGGAGAACAGAAUCCGGCUUACUACCGACUCUCUCCU